rnacentral:sRNA from 1 species
UCACCCGGAGGCUCGGGUUCGAUUCCCGGUA